ensembl:lncRNA
UGAACUGCAUCAAGAGAAAUGCCAUCAGACAAAUUGCGACUUUAAGGAAUAAUUUUAGAAGAGCUAUGACCGUGGCAAACAUUUCUUUAUUGUAAUGUGGGCAAUGACUAUACAAUGAGUGAUCCUACACUUUCCUGGGCAUUGCAUAAGAAACAGUUUACUUCACUGUGGCAUUUGGUGAUGUUAAACAUUUCUGUAUUUGUGAUUUUAGAUCUGAAUUUCUGAGGAACUAUGCACCAAAAGGUGAAAUUGUUUUCUAGAGUGUAGGCAGUUCUAAAUUGAUUGUUGCUGUUAACUUGUUCAAGUGUCUUGCUGUUAAAACAAUUGUGGCUUAUUCCUGUUGUACAUCAAUGGCUCUUUGGGUUCACAUGUCUUAUGGUGCCUUUUAUCAAGUGAAAUUAUUUUAUUUUUCUCUAAGCAUCAGCAUGACUCUUGCAUCUUAUUACUGAUGUGACCAUAGUUUUAAAACUUAUACUGACAUCUAUUGAUAUUAAACUGCUUUGUCUGUGCUGCCACCACUAUCUGGAAUGUAUCAAGUGUUUGAGGUGAUCUCUUUCUCCCUCCCUUUUAAGCUGAAAGGACAUAGUAGCAUGGAUGGUCAGUGGCACCUUGUGUAUGGUUUUUCAUAUUUAUAGAGAAAGUUAGUGACUUAACCCCACUUUUGUCUGUUUCUUUAAUUUCCAGUUUAUUAAAGUCUAAAUGCUUCUGUAGACAACUGCUUUCUCUGAUAUCUAUGCUGUCUUGGUACUCAAACACAGCCUUUCACACUGUUUUGGACUGACUAUGUAGGGCAGCCAGCAACAAAGCUGUCAUUCCUGCUUUUCAUCUCUGCCAGUCAGUGACAAUGCAACAUUCAGGCUUUGACAAAUCUUGGUUUCCAGGUCAACACUGAAACUGUAUUAGCCCUCUAUGGACCUUUUUCCCCAUACUUCUCACUCAGCUGGG